UACGGAGGGGGCUAGCGUUGUUCGGAAUUACUGGGCGUAAAGCGCGCGUAGGCGGACCUGCAAGUCGGGUGUGAAAGCCCGAGGCUCAACCUCGGAACUGCCUUCGAUACUGCGGGUCUCGAGUCCGGGAGAGGUGAGUGGAACUGCGAGUGUAGAGGUGAAAUUCGUAGAUAUUCGCAAGAACACCAGUGGCGAAGGCGGCUCACUGGCCCGGUACUGACGCUGAGGUGCGAAAGCGUGGGGAGCAAACAGG
rnacentral:rRNA from 1 species